UUUUCUCAUAUUUACGAUUUGUUCUUGUAGCUGAUAGAUGCCAGGAGCGAUAUAAACAGCUCUGAGAUAAAAAAAAAAGAAAGGUUAUUGAAACAGCCAAGUGGUAGUGAUACUAAAAGAAAGUAAGAUUGGUCACUGUAUGAAGCAAUGACAUUUCUGGAAUCCUAUUUAAUUGAUAAAGAAUUCUUCUAUAAAGAAAAUUGAUUUAAUUGAUGAAGAUACUACUUUUCUAUUAUGGAAACACAGGAGCACGCCAACAUUGAUCAUCUUCUGCUGUUCAUUUUCCACCAGAAAAGCAAAGAAAGGCCUGUUGAAGACUUGACAAUUUUAUAUUUAAUAUGAUGGAUGAAAAUAAAUAAAACUCUUUAAAUAUGCCC